CACCGAAGUCCGGGAUGGAAGAUGGCGAGAAAAGCUGUGUGUAUUUCUGCGGUGCCCGUACCGCAAACCGACACAGGUAGGUAGGAAGAAGAUUCUAAGGCCAACGGGAGAAGGGUUGUUAAGGAACUCGGCAAAUUGACCCCGUAACUUCGGGAGAAGGGGUGCUCCAGAGAUGGAGCCGCAGAGAAUCGGCCCAAGCAACUGUUUACCAAAAACACAGGUUUGUGCUAAAUCGAAAGAUGACGUAUACGAGCUGACGCCUGCCCGGUGCUGGAAGGUUAAGAGGAGAUGUGCAAGCAUUGAAUCGAAGCCCCAGUGAACGGCGGCCGUAACUAUAACGGUCCUAAGGUAGCGAAAUUCCUUGUCAGGUAAGUUCUGACCCGCAUGAAAGGCGUAAUGAUUUGGGCACUGUCUCGACAGCCCGCCCGGCGAAAUUGUAGUACCGGUGAAGAUGCCGGUUACCCGCGACAAGACGGAAAGACCCCAUGGAGCUUUACUGUAGCCUAAUAUUGGGUUUCGAUGUUGCAUGCACAGGAUAGAUGGGACACUAGGAAGCAAGUGCUUUGGCAUUUGUGGAGUGGCCGUUGGGAUACCAUCCUUGCGAUAUUGGAAUUCUAACCUGCGCCUUUGAAUCAAGGCGGGGGACAUUGUUAGGUGGGCAGUUUGACUGGGGCGGUCGCCUCCUAAAGAGUAACGGAGGCGUUCAAAGGUUCGCUCAGCUUGAACGGAAAUCAAGCAAAAGAGUGCAAACGCAGAAGCGAGCCUAACUGCGAGACUGACGGGUCGAGCAGUAACGAAAGUUGGAGUUAGUGAUCCGGUGGUAUGUGAGUGGAAAUGCCAUCGCUCAACGGAUAAAAGUUACCCUGGGGAUAACAGGCUGAUCUCCCCCAAGAGUCCACAUCGACGGGGAGGUUUGGCACCUCGAUGUCGGCUCAUCGCAUCCUGGGGCUGUAUUCGGUCCCAAGGGUUUGGCUGUUCGCCAAUUAAAGCGGUACGCGAGCUGGGUUCAGAACGUCGUGAGACAGUUCGGUCCCUAUCUGUCGUGGGCGCAGGAUAUUUGAUGGGAGCUGUUCCUAGUACGAGAGGACCGGAGCGGACGUACCUCUGGCGCACCAGUUGUUCUGCCAAGGGCAUAGCUGGGCAACUAUGUACGGAUCGGAUAAACGCUGAAAGCAUCUAAGCGUGAAGCCGACCCAAAGAUAAGAUAUCCCAUUGUUUCAAACAAGUAAGACCCCUUGAAGACUACAAGGUUGAUAGGCAUGAUGUGUAAGUGGAGUGAUCCAUUCAGCAAGCAUGUACUAAUAGGUCGAGGGCUUGACAU
rnacentral:rRNA from 1 species